rnacentral:tRNA from 1 species
AGUUUAUGAACUUGAAUAAGUUUAUGUUUUGAAAACAUAAUAUAGAAAUUUAACUUUCUAUAAACUU